UACGGAAGGCAGCAGUGGGGAAUAUUGCACAAUGGGCGAAAGCCUGAUGCAGCUAUGCCGCGUGUAUGAAGAAGGCCUUAGGGUUGUAAAGUACUUUCACCGGGGAGGAAAAAACAAAACUAAUAAUUUUAUUUCUUGACGUUACCCGAAAAAGAAGCACCGGCUAACUCCGUGCCAGCAGCCGCGGUAAUACGGAGGGUGCUAGCGUUAAUCAGAAUUACUGGGCGUAAAGAGCACGUAGGUGGUUUUUUUAAGUCAGAUGUGAAAUCCCUGGGCUUAACCUGGAACUGCAUUUUGAAACUGAAAUACUAGAGUAUCGUAGAGGGAGGUAGAAUUCUAGGUGUAGCGGUGAAAUGCGUAGAUAUCUGGAGGAAUACCUGUGGCGAAAGCGGCCUCCUAAACGAAUACUGACACUGAGGUGCGAAAGCGUGGGGAGCAAACAGGGAUUAGAUACC
rnacentral:rRNA from 1 species